CCUACGGGUGGCAGCAGUGGGGAAUAUUGCACAAUGGGGGAAACCCUGAUGCAGCAACGCCGCGUGAGUGAAGAAGUAUUUCGGUAUGUAAAGCUCUAUCAGCAGGGAAGAAGAUGACGGUACCUGAGCAAGAAGCCCCGGCUAACUACGUGCCAGCAGCCGCGGUAAUACGUAGGGGGCAAGCGUUAUCCGGAUUUACUGGGCGUAAAGGGAGCGCAGACGGUGUGUCAAGUCUGAAGUGAAAGCCCGGGGCUCAACCCCGGGACUGCUUUGGAAACUGCCUGACUGGAGUGCAGGAGAGGCAAGCGGAAUUCCUGGUGUAGCGGUGAAAUGCGUAGAUAUUAGGAAGAACACCAGUGGCGAAGGCGGCUUGCUGGACAGUAACUGACGUUGAGGCUCGAAAGCGUGGGGAGCAAACAGGAUUAGAUACCCGGGUAGUC
rnacentral:rRNA from 1 species